rnacentral:tRNA from 1 species
GGACCUCUACCUGGGGUUCGCGGGCGGCAGCGGCUACCUGGCCAACGUGGACUGGUGGCAGUUCACCGCGGUGCAGGCAGCGGCGGUCCG